ensembl:snoRNA U3 Small nucleolar RNA U3
AAGGCUAUACUUUCAGGGAUCACUUUUAUGGUGCUUUAUCUGAGAUGUUCCUUUUAAUGGGUGCAAACCAGCAGGAGGAGGUGCAGGGUUUUCUCCUGAGUGUGAAGCUGGCUUUUGGUAUUGCUUUGCUGUAACUGCCAUUGGCCAUUGGUGAUCAUUCUUCUCUUGCUUGAGUCAAAAAAACAAAAACAAAAGCAAGAAAUCAAUAAAA